ACGCACGCUGGCGGCGUGCUUAACACAUGCAAGUCGAACGUGAUUUUUGUGGAAAUUCUUUCGGGAAUGGAAAUGAAAUGAAAGUGGCGAACGGGUGAGUAACACGUGAGCAACCUACCUUACACAGGGGGAUAGCCGUUGGAAACGACGAUUAAUACCGCAUGAGACCACAGAAUCGCAUGAUAUAGGGGUCAAAGAUUUAUCGGUGUAAGAAGGGCUCGCGUCUGAUUAGCUAGUUGGAAGGGUAAAGGCCUACCAAGGCGACGAUCAGUAGCCGGUCUGAGAGGAUGAACGGCCACAUUGGAACUGAGACACGGUCCAAACUCCUACGGGAGGCAGCAGUGGGGAAUAUUGCACAAUGGGGGGAACCCUGAUGCAGCGACGCCGCGUGAGCGAAGAAGGUUUUCGAAUCGUAAAGCUCUGUCCUAUGAGAAGAUAAUGACGGUAGCAUAGGAGGAAGCCCCGGCUAAAUACGUG
rnacentral:rRNA from 1 species